GAUGAACGCUGGCGGCGUGCCUAAUACAUGCAAGUCGAGCGAACAGACGAGGAGCUUGCUCCUCUGACGUUAGCGGCGGACGGGUGAGUAACACGUGUAUAACCUACCUAUAAGACUGGGAUAACUUCGGGAAACCGGAGCUAAUACCGGAGAAUAUAUUGAACCGCAUGGUUCAAUAGUGAAAGACGGUUUUGCUGUCACUUAUAGAUGGAUCCGCGCCGCAUUAGCUAGUUGGUAAGGUAACGGCUUACCAAGGCAACGAUGCGUAGCCGACCGGAGAGGGGGGUCGGCCACACUGGAACUGGACCACGGUCCAGACUCCUACGGGAGGCAGCAGUAGGGAAUCUGCCGCAAUGGGCGAAAGCAUGACGGAGCAACGCCGCGUGAGUGAUGAAGGUCUUCGGAUCGGAAAACUCUGUUAUUAGGGAAGAACAAAUGUGUAAGUAGCUAUGCACGUCUUGACGGUACCGAAUCAGAAAGCCACGGCUAACUACGUG
rnacentral:rRNA from 1 species